CUGCUUCCGGUGACGUCGCAGGCGGCGCCGUCGGUGGUCCGGAAAGUGGCUCAGGUGAAGUCCUCUUUGACGUGUCUUUUGUUGUCUACCUUUGUACCUGUGGACGGAGAGCGAGCAGAGCCUCGCAGGUUUCCUUUACCUACGCCCAACAUGCCCAAGGUGAAUGAAGAAAGGGAAUGAGUACCGGCAUCCUGGAAGAAAAUGUCAUAGGGUCAGCUUUCUGUAAGAAGCAGUGACUGCUGAUAAAAGAUCUCAUCUAGAACAUUAAAAUCAAUAUACAAUGUGAUUUUUAAGAAAUCAAGUGAUGAAAUUCUUCUCAUUUACAAUGAGCCAGGCAGUUUCUGUGACAGUGGACUGUCUGCCUAUACACAAACUUGGUUCCUGCUGUCAUGGUUAGACAACUACAAGCCAUUACUGAUUCAGUCAACAAACAACUGAAGGAUCAAAUAAGGAAGAGGCAUUUGUCUUGGUUGUUGUCUGAAACCUUUUAUUGGCAUCUUCUUACAAGAUCAAAAUAGCACCAACAUCAAAACUUGCAAAAUGGGUGUCAGUGUCUAGGAAGAAAAUCCUUAAGACAGAAGAAGGGCACUCGUCUGUGACAUGCUGCCUCACCCAUGCUCAUGGUGGCACAGAGGAGAUACUGGAUGGAAAAACAGAGGCAUCUAUCAUGAAGAGUUGAAAAGUGAUUCAAAGGAGUCAAGCCAAUCAUGAAGCUUAAAUGCUCUCCAUUACACCCCAAUGUUCACAGCAACAAUGUCCAUGAUAGCCAAACUGUGGAAAGAGCUGAGAUGCCCUUCAACAGAUGAAUGGAUAAAGAUGUGGGCCAUAUACACAAUGGAAUAUUACUCAGCCGUGAGAAAGGAUGAAUACCCCACUUUUGCAUCCGCAUGGACAGGACUGGAGGAGACUAUGCUAAGUGAAAUAAAUCAAGCAGAGAAAGUCAA